rnacentral:sRNA from 1 species
CGUUAUCUUGAUGGUCUGGUUAAAAACGAUAAGUAAGUUGUUAAUAACCUGAUCUUAAUUGUUUGAGGCGACUGUUUUUCAGUCGCCUUUUUUA